UAUCCAUCCGAGACCUACAGUUUCCAUAAUCUGUACUUGGAGGAAGACCACUGGGCAGUGGCAGUUGGGAAAAGUGGGCUCUUGAGCCGGUAAGUACUGGGUACAAAGUCCAGGCUUUCCUGGACUGCCAGCAUGACCUGAGGCACCCAUCAUCCUGCUUUCAGCUUCAGGUCCCUCCCAAACUGGCUCUUGUGAGGAUCAAACAAGGUCCUGUUGAUUGGGGAAGGCUGUCUGCCGUCAGCACCCACAGCUCAAGGAAACCUAGAACUGAGCACAAGAUGGGUGGGGUCGAUGUGUAUAUGAAGUCUGAUUUGCAUAGAGAGACUCUGGGCCAGGGGUGAAGGGUGGGCUGGGCCCAGUUCUGUAUCUCAACCCUGUACUUAGGAACCAGGACUGUUCCAUAUCUGAAAACUGCAGGGCUUGCUGCAGAGCGUCUGUGGACACACCCAGCCUCCCCUGCCCCAGCUGUCCCUGGCACUCCUACCUGUGGCCACUGAUCUGUAUCUACCCCCAGAAUGCCACUAAACAGCUAAGUGAGGGAAUCAACUACAGUACCUCCCGGAACCCAGGUUACAGCAAGUCUCCACUCUUCCUGGCAGGUGUUCAGACAGACCCACGUAGGAGACAGCAAAGAAGCUUCCUGUCUGCUGGCAGAGAACAGGUGGCAGAACAUGAAGCUGGCCAGCCACUGUGUGCAGUGCUAGAGGCCUUGUUGAAACAAGUCCAAAUUGUGCAGAAGUGUGAGCACAAGAUGAGGUUAAGCCAGGCCUGCUGUGAGUCAAUGAUCACAAAAAGAAAAGGAGUCUCCCAUCCUCUCCCCCAGGUCCUUCUUGCCUACCUGCAGCUCAAAGAAGUCUUCUAAACUGACGGGCAAUAUGAAGAAGAUACCUGCUCAACUCAAGAUGUGUGGAAACUAGAGUGCCAGAACAGAAGACUUCUAAGUGUGCGGGAAGACACAACAGAGACUUUACUGUCCAUCUAACAGUAAAUGCCAUCUAUCUUUGCAAGAAUAAAGGCCCACACAGAGUC